CACGUAGGGGGCAAGCGUUGUCCGGAUUUAUUGGGCGUAAAGAGCGUGUAGGCGGCCAGGUAGGUCUGCUGUGAAAACUCGAGGCUCAACCUCGAGACGUCGGCGGAAACCAUCUGGCUAGAGUCCGGAAGAGGAGAGUGGAAUUCCUGGUGUAGCGGUGAAAUGCGCAGAUAUCAGGAAGAACACCCGUGGCGAAGGCGGAUCUCUGGGCCUUACCUGACGCUGAGGCGCGAAAGCUAGGGGAGCAAACAGG
rnacentral:rRNA from 1 species